CGCCAGCCUCGCCCUCCUCGCCGAGGCAGACAGGAGAACGGCGUGUGUGUGUGUGUGAGUGUGUGAGUGUAAAUGUGUGCGUUCCCAAGGACAAACAAAGCUGCUGAAUGGACUGAAGCUGCAGAGGAGAGGAACUCAGAAACCCUCCAGGUGUAUUGGACGUUGAAGGUCUGGAGACUCCACUUCCUGUCAAGGACAUCUGCAUGGGCUGAUCCCGCCGGGCUCUGGGAUCCAGCAGGGGGAGCUGUGGAGACGUUCCUGUGUAGCACAUCAGUGACUCUCAGACACAGUGGUGCAGUGGUUGGUGUCCAGACUCCUUCACUCUGCUCUCAUGGUAUGCAACGGACGAGCAGGAGUGUCCCUUCUCCAGAGUCCCGCUGACUCUGGUGGCUGUAGACGGUGGUCAUUGUGGUGAUAAAUGCAGCGGAGGCCUUUUACAUGUGCAGGUUGUUGGGAAACAUCCUGUGAAUAAAGGUCAGGAGGCAGGAUUUGCUUGAGAAACCAUAGAUUAAAAAGAUAUAUACUCUAAUAAUUUUCAUUAUAACGAUAUCUUAGUGAUCAUUUUAGACGAGGACAAAAAUAAUGUUCACUUAUCAAAGCUUAGUUGUCUUUCUACAGAAUAGAUAACAUAGAUAUACUGUAAGAAUUUCUUAAAAAAAAUAAAUACAAUGUUUUUAUUGUGGUAUUAUUUGUAUUUCAAUUUUGUACGUAUCAGGACUGUGAACAUCUGUAAGACUGUCCGCCUGUGUGUGACUGUGAGUUUGAAUGUUCAGGUGAGCAGGUGUGUGCACAGGUGUGUGACAUGCAUGUGAGCGAAUGCUUUCACUUUGGAUCACUGAAACCUGUAAAGAGACGACCUCAGCCUGAUGACACACAUCUGUGAUGUUGGGAGUUCUUCAAUAAAUGUCCUCUCCUUGUACAGCAACAGCCGCCCUGCUGUGGUUCUUCCCUCUGCCUCCAUGCAGCUCCGGCCCGGGGGCCAUACGCGGCCCGCUAAACCAUUUCAUCUGCAAAACUAGAAUAAGUCAUUUUGAUAAUAGUAUUACCCCAUGCCAGCAAACGCCACGUGGGCCCCAUGUGGUUUAAAAAAGUGGGCAGGAAAUGUGGGCCCCAAAUGGGUUUGUCUGCAGUUUCUGUGGUGACCCCACCUAUGUUUGCCCACCUUGGCUUAAGACUUCACUGUAGAAAGUUAGUGGCGCUUCUGUAGUUCUGAAGCUCCUCUGUGGCCAGCUUUUUUUUUUUUUUUUCAAACAUUUUAUUGAAAAUAUUCAAAUGUUUACAUAUAAGUCACUAGAAGAAAGCCAGGGGGUUGGCAGAGUUUACACACAGGUUUUAAAGAGGAAAUCAAAGCAUAAUUUUUCUCUCCUCACAACUUCCGUAUUUGGAUCAAUUGUAAUAUCCUUUACAAGAGAAAAUCUAUAUUUUUUCCUAACUGGUUUAAUAAUAAUAUAUUAUACGUUAAACAACUAUUUAACUUACAAGGCAACUUAUUCUCGUAUAAUGAGUUCCUAGAAACCCACCACAUUCCAGUCCCUCCUAUUGUAAUGGAUGCUGUUCCUCCAGGAGUGUUGAUGCUUUUUAAAGGGAGCAUGUGAACUUCACCACACAUUUUGUCGUUGUCUGAAACCUCUGCAGGUAAAUUGUGUUUUAUUUCCAGCCCUUCAUCCAGGAACAUAAAAAUGAGAUCCCUUUUUCAACAAAACACAGCAGCUAUACCUUACAUUACCCACUAUUGGAGAACAUUUGCCCCGGAAAUCAAAUGGAAGAAAGUUUGGACUCUAUCCUUGAAAUACUUUAUCCCCAACAAACCUCGGGAGGUUUGUUUCAAACUUCUUCCCAGGUGAUCCAGUGAAAUCCCGUCUCUACGUUGAUAUAGAUAAAAACUGAUCCUUUUGUAACAUUGAAACACC
ensembl:lncRNA